CCUACGGGAGGCAGCAGUGAGGAAUAUUGGACAAUGGGCGCAAGCCUGAUCCAGCCAUGCCGCGUGCAGGAAGACGGUCCUAUGGAUUGUAAACUGCUUUUAUACAGGAAGAAACACUCCCUCGUGAGGGAGCUUGACGGUACUGUAGGAAUAAGGAUCGGCUAACUCCGUGCCAGCAGCCGCGGUAAUACGGAGGAUCCAAGCGUUAUCCGGAAUCAUUGGGUUUAAAGGGUCCGUAGGCGGCUUAAUAAGUCAGUGGUGAAAGCCCUACGCUUAACGUAGGAACGGCCAUUGAUACUGUUAGGCUUGAAUUAUUAGGAAGUAACUAGAAUAUGUAGUGUAGCGGUGAAAUGCUUAGAGAUUACAUGGAAUACCAAUUGCGAAGGCAGGUUACUACUAAUGGACUGACGCUGAUGGACGAAAGCGUGGGUAGCGAACAGGAUUAGAUACCCUGGUAGUCCACGCCGUAAACGAUGGAUACUAGCUGUUGGGCGCAAGUUCAGUGGCUAAGCGAAAGUGAUAAGUAUCCCACCUGGGGAGUACGUUCGCAAGAAUGAAACUCAAAGGAAUUGACGG
rnacentral:rRNA from 1 species